GACAAACAGAUCAAGCUAAGUAAAGCUGGUAUAAAAAAAGGUUAAAUUUAUAUAUUUUACAGGAAAUUAAGUUUUUAUGAGGAGGUGGAAUUCGUAUAUAAAAAUUUUUAUUAAUUAUUCCUUGUAGUUGAUGCCUUGAAAGUUAAAACAGAAACCGGGAUUAGAUACCCCGUUAUUUUUUUUGUAAAUUUUGAUUUUUUUUUCGAAAUUAAUUUACCUGAGUAUUACGGGUUAGAUAACUAUAUGCUACCUUAAUCUAGUAUAUAACUUAUUUAGUUACUUAAAACUCAAAAAACUUGGCGGUGCCUUAAUUCCUUUCAGGGGAACCUGUCCUGUAAUCGAUGGUCCGCGAUUAAUCUUACUUUUUUUAGGGUUACAUUUGAACUUCAGUUUGUAUACCGUCGUCGUCAGAUUACCUUUAAGAGUUAAAAAGUUGUCUAUUAAAUUAAAAGAGUUAAUUUUAAAUUUUGAUGUCAGAUCAAGGUGCAGCUUAUAAAAAAGUAGAGAUGGGUUACAAUAUAAAAUUUAUACUAUGGAUAUUGAUUUGUAAUAAUUUAAUGAAAGUGGACUUGAGAGUAAUAUGAUGCAAAAAAAUUAGAAUGUUUUUGUGAAUGGUGGUACUAAGGUGUGC
rnacentral:rRNA from 1 species